GUCUCCAUAGUUAAACGGAUAUAAUAAGCGCCUCCUAAGCGCUAGUUAUGGGUUCGAUUCCCGUUGGAGACG
rnacentral:tRNA from 1 species